rnacentral:rRNA from 1 species
GACGAACGCUGGCGGCGUGCCUAACACAUGCAAGUCGAACGGAGAUACGAUUUCGGUUGUAUCUUAGUGGCGAACGGGUGAGUAACGCGUGAACAACCUGACUCUUAGAGGGGGAUAACACUCGGAAACGGGUGCUAAUACCGCAUAAGACCACGACCCGGCAUCGGGAUGAGGACAAAGGAGCAAUCCGCUGAGAGAGGGGUUCGCGUCCCAUUAGAUAGAUGGCGGGGUAACGGCCCACCAUGUCAACGAUGGGUAGCCGAGCUGAGAGGCUGAUAGGCCACACUGGAACUGAGACACGGUCCAGACUCCUACGGGAGGAAGCAGUGGGGAAUAUUGGGCAAUGGGCGCAAGCCUGACCCAGCAACGCCGCGUGAGGGAAGAAGGCUUUCGGGUUGUAAACUUCUUUGACAGGGGACGAAAAAAAUGACGGUACCCUGAAAACAAGCCACGGCUAACUACGUGCCAGCAGCCGCGGUAACAC